UACAGAGGGUGCAAGCGUUUAAUCGGAAUUACUGGGCGUAAAGCGUGCGUAGACGGUCAUGUAAGUCGGGUGUGAAAGCCCCCGGGCUCAACCUGGGAAUUGCAUUCGAGACUGCAUGGCUAGGGUGCGGAAGAGGGAAGCGGAAUUUCCGGUGUAGCGGUGAAAUGCGUAGAUAUCGGAAGGAACACCAGUGGCGAAAAGCGGCUUCCUGGUCCAGCACCGACGUCAGGCACGAAAGCGUGGGGAGCAAACAGG
rnacentral:rRNA from 1 species